rfam:Glycine soja cultivar W05 scaffold975_135, whole genome shotgun sequence.
GUUGAGAGGAAUGUUGUCUGGCUCGAGGUCAUGGAGGAGGAGGAGGAGUAGAGUACUGAGAUCAGUGAAAGUUUCCAAUGGAAAUUUACCCUCUUACACAAAAAAAUGAUUCUCGGACCAGGCUUCAUUCCCCCCACC